rnacentral:rRNA from 1 species
UACGUAGGGUGCGAGCGUUAAUCGGAAUUACUGGGCGUAAAGCGUGCGCAGGCGGUUUUGUAAGCCAGAUGUGAAAUCCCCGGGCUUAACCUGGGAAUGGCAUUUGGGACUGCAAGGCUGGAGUUUGGCAGAGGAGACUGGAAUUCCCGGUGUAGCAGUGAAAUGCGUAGAUAUCAGGAGGAACACCGGUGGCGAAGGCGGCUCUCUGGUCCACAACUGACGCUGAGGUGCGAAAGCUAGGGGAGCAAACGGG